AAAUGAGGCCCCUCAUGGGGGGGGGGUCCUAGUAAUCACAUAAUCACCAUUUUUUUGCCAAUAUAAUCACAUAAUCAUUAAAUAUUUGCUUAUCUUUAGUAAUCAAAUAAUCAUAAACUAAAAAUACAGUCCUAGGUAAUCAAAUAAUCAUGAAAUAUUUGGCUUAAUAAUCAAAUAAUCAUUAAAAAAACGGCCAAGUAAUCACAUAAUCAAAAACCCCAUGAGGGCCCUCUGAAAUGG
rnacentral:lncRNA from 1 species